UCAGAGAAGCUGGAAUGGUCAUUCAGCCACUCAAGGUCGUUCAGCAUCAGCAUUCUUGAAAAUAUCUCCAGUGAAGAUAUUCAGUGUCUUGCCUUUGUUGACACCUACAUCAGGAAAAAUGGGACGCCCCCAAAGGCUGGCAUGGACGCUGGGACAGACUCAAGGAUGUCCCUGACCAACUUCGGGGCAGGCCAGGGGUGUCAGACUCAGGGGGGAUGCAAACUCCACCUCCAAGUUCGUGGACCGACCGCCAGUUUGUGGUGAUUGCCUCUGAGAAGGUUGCAUGGCUGGUGUCAUUGUCCACCCAAAAUUGUGUUUUUAAGCAGAUUCUGACUGACGUGUUUUUCGUUGUGAACGCGGACAUGGUCACCAUCAAAGGUUAGGAACCGUGAUGGUGGUAGUUGGGGGCUGGGUGGGAAGGGGGGUAGGUUAGGUUAGGUUAGGUCAGUUAGGGUAGUAAUGCUUUAAGUUACGUUUGGUUGGGUUAGGGUAGUAGUAGUAGUUGUAGUAGUAGUAGUAGUAGUAGUAGUAGUAGUAGUAAUAGUAGUAGUAGCAGUAGUAGUAGUAGUAGUAGUAGUAGUAGUAGUAGUAGUAGUAGUAGUAGCAGUAGUAGUAGUAGCAGUAGUAGUAGUAGUAGUAGUAGUAGUAGUAGUAGUAGUAGUAGUAGUAGUAGUAGUAGUAGUAGUAGUGUACUGAGAAUAGCUCAGUAUGUCCUACUGGUCAAGUUUUCUUUGAAUUGAAUAGAUAAAUUGUACUAUUAUAACUAUAUUAUUGUUAUUGUAUUAACUAAAUUUGUAAUUUUCUUAUGUUUUGCAUACAAUUUGUACUAUUAUUUUGCUAAUGAGAUAUUGUAUUUCGCUCUCUCGUUUCGGCAUGCGCUUGUCUCUGUUCUUGUGUGUAAAAUUGUGACGUAGGAAUUGAGUGACGUGGACAGGAUGGAAAUGUUGUCCAUGCCGUCAGCUAGCGGCCCCUCAUUGUUUCUCGGGUGGUGACGACUGGUGGAGGUGUUGGGGCAAGGGUUGCAGUGCCCAGGUGUGGGGCAGAGAUUUAAUGUUGGUGAUCCUGGAGCUGUGUGGCACAGGGUCCAGUCUCAAAAUGUUAUGCCGGAGUACAACAUUGUGCUAGUAAUUGUGACCCUGAAGCUGUGAAAAGUGAUCUCAACUCCAGUUUCACCUGUGUGCUGAUAGGGGAGGCACUGCCAUCUCCCUGGUGUGUUACAUCGCCUCAGGUCACGUGUCAGUGUUCAGCUUGUCCAGUCUCCGCCAGCUCAUUUACAUUGAUUUCCUUCCUCUAGUCAUCCUCAGGAGAGAGCAUCCCACAGAUGAAGGAGGGCAUUUCUGUCCCGGACGACCCUAGGAUAGUCACGGAUAGUCAGGAUAGUCGACUACUGGACCUGACUACUGACUCCAGGCUGUACAUCUCUAUGGCGGCACCAGAAUAGUCCAGCACACUCCGCUUAUCAAGACAACUACUGGCCUGAGAGCCCCAAAUAGUGGGUGUGUCUGGUGCGUGCUGAGGACAAGGCAGACUACUCAAGACUAUCCUGUGUGCCUGUGGCCUGUGUGUCGAGCCACGUCCAAUAGCCUUUUUACUAUCCUUGAUAGUCUUUUCUGUGGCUGCUGCUGUUGCUUACAUGUGGGUCAAAGGCACGGCGGAGCCCCAGAGGAGCCGACACAGACUAGUGUUGUUGAUCCUGCCAUGGGUGGUGCUGGUGGAGCCCCUUGUGGAGCUGCCCCUGGCUGUCAUCAUCACCACCUCUCUCUCUCUCUCUCUCUCUCUCUCUCUCUCCUCUCUCUCUCUCUCUCUCUCUCUCUCUCUCUCUCUCGUGUUUUUAAGUGUGUGUAGGCCUACUGAGUGUUGGCCUCACUUCACUCAACCAAACCUGACCUGCCAUCACUUGUAGAAGAGACAUCUGGUGGGCCAUGUGUAGCGACCCCGCGUUGUCUGUCAGGAUCACCCCCACAGAGACAGCACCACCAGCAGGAGAGGGCAUCCACCUCCUCCUCCAGCAGCUGGCCACAGCACAGGGCACAGAGCAAGCAGGUGGUGACGCAGAGGGUGGCCUGCCACCCCCCCCCCCCUGCAUCAGCCUCUCCCCUGCAUCAGCAACACUCAACACCACGUGCUUCACUUCAUACUCAUUCGUGCAAGCCUCUCUCUCUCUCUCUCUCUCUCUCUCUCUCUCUCUCUCUCUCUCUCUCUCUCUCUCUCUCUCUCUCUCUCUC